AUGUGGCGCCCAGCGGUUAGGCGCUGCGCCACUGGCUGUGGGGCCGCGCCUGGCCCCGGGCUGCCACGCUGGCCGGGGGUGCGACGCCUAAGAAAAAGGCGUUGCACGGUAGUGUGCAGCGCCUUGCUGUCGGGCGCCACACGAAAGGGUCAGCAGCGUGAUUUUUUUUCGAAAGCAGUUCAAAUCUUGAAUCGUUUUUGUCCACAGGUCCAAAUAUGUAUUUUCUGCCUGCGUCGCGCGUGCCGUGAGCGGCUGCUUUUGCCGUUCGCUGCUUUGGCUGGUUGGUUACUGCCGUUUCUGCACCCGCGCAUGUGUUGUACCAAUGACGGGUGGGCGAUGCUGCCCCUGAUGACGGGUGGGCCGGCGCUGCUCCUGUUCCCGCUCGACGGCUGCACUGGAUGCGCGUCUCGUCGGGCACCGCAGCAGGAGGGUGCGGUGUGGGUGCCCCCAACCCAUAGCUGCCACACAACCCUUUCUCCUCCUCACCCCUCCCUUCCUCGUCAACACAGCCGCCGCGCCACCUCGCUCCUCCGGUCCUCCCUCCCCCUCAGCCCCAGAAGCUCUUCCUCUUCUUUCGACAAGAUCCAUCGCCUCACGAGCUCCUUAUCCACCCCAGCUUGUGAGGAAGCCGUGGGAGGAGGAGCUCAACCGGGUGUCGCCGGCCGGAGAAGGAGGAGAGGCGCGGAUGCCAGCCAGGGAGGCGGAUCGGUUCGCCUCCGCUGCUUCGUGAGCGCCGCCGCCUCCUCUGCAUCCACCUUGCUCCGCAUAACAGCAUUUGUGCAGAAGCGGGGACAGGCGACCACGAACAGAUGGCGUCGGCGGCAACGGCAACACGCACGGUGCAUGAGGUCCGGUAAGAUGGGCUCGGCCUCCCCACAUGCGUUUAGGAUGGCGUGCCAGAUGGCUCGGAACGCGCGCGCCCGGCUCACAAGAGGUAUGCUUCAGAGCACGGCGGCGGCAACGUGCACCGCGAGGUCCCGGAGCAGCCCAGCCAGAGCCCCUCUGUACUGGAGGAACCCUGCGUCUCCAUCCUCACCUCCACUCACAGAGGGAGAGAGAAGGAAGGAAAUGAGGGAGAAAGAGAGGAAGGGGAGAGGGAGGCGCGGCAUCGAACGGGUGAGGGUCACCGGUCUGCACCGGCGAGGUCGGGCACGACCUGGUGCUUGGUGGUGGCUCGAUCCGCUCCUUGGAUCAGGGCCUCCAGGACCAACAAGGAGGCUCUCAGGCUCGUCUUCUAACCUGCAGCAGCCUAUACAGGCAGCGGAAGCGCCGGUCAGACCAUGGGGGCGGCUUGGUCGAGCUACAACGAGCGCAUCUGAUUCAAAAUAUAUGUUGUCAUGUGCUUGCUUCAGAUUUCUGUGUCCGGAUGACUAUAUGAACAAAACUCACAAGGUUGUUGAUACUGGAGUUAUUGGCUUUCUGCUGCAAACUGAAAUAAUUCCUCUGUGCUUGCCUACCAUGGAGGUGGGCAGUGAGCUAUCAAAAACUGAAUGUGGCUAACCAUCUCAUUCUUCGUCUAAAUAUUAUCAUGUUCUUUCUUUUAUGUUUAGCCUAGCAAAGGACAAAUUGCUUCUUCUUUUUGUAGGUUUGGAUCCUCUAUCCUUAAUUCAUUGCUCUAGUUGAUCGUUCCGCUAAACACGUCCGCUACAUAUGCACCCUCUCGUUGCUUUCUAAUUUAGUGCUUCCUGAUUGAACGUACGCUUCAACAUAUGGUAGAUUUAUAGUACUUGAAAAAGAAAGAUUUAUAGUAUUUGACCAUUAGCCGGAAAUUGCUUCCCAUAAAUCACGCCAAAUUUCAUUUAUUAUAAAAAAUCUAGUAAGUUGUGAUUGGCUUCACACAUACAAAUAUAAGAGAAUAAUUAUUAUUCGAGGGACGUGGAGUAGCUGCUCCUAAGCUCAAAUGCACCCGGAUGAACAGUAAAUCAAAAACAAAGUAAAAAUGUUAUGAAUUUUCUUUCUAAACUUUGACAAAUGCUCUAUAUGCUUGCCAUAGUUCAGCACAAGAUGACAAUACUGGAAACCGUGGCAAAAAAAUCAAUGCUCCAAAAAUGCUAUUUUUAUAAACAUUUUGAAGUACUAAUUUUGUUUUUUUGCCACGACUUCCACGAAUGUCAUUUCGUGCUCAAAUUUUGCAAGCAUGCAAAAUUUUGUCAAAGUUUACAACCAAAAAAAUCAGAUUUUUUUAUUUUGUUUACUAAUUUUUUUAAGUUUUACAGUUCACAAGGGUGCAUUUGGUCUCGGGGUCAGAAUAGGAAUUUCGUUAUUCGAGAUGUAUUUUUGUGCAGCCCAACAAGCUUAAGUGGCAUGGAAGCAUUAUUCUUUAUCAGUAGAAGCAUCCUUUUUAUGGUGUGAUGAGAACAUAUUUAUUCCAUAUUUAUCGACC
rnacentral:rRNA from 1 species